rnacentral:lncRNA from 1 species
UGACAAUUGGAAUUUAUUGAGACACGGUGUGAACGUAGGAUAACUAGACAUUUAUGUAGUGAUGUUGCGGAUCAGGUCCACCAGGACUUGCUCUCAUGGAUUGGUAACGCCGCUCUUCUCGAUGAACAGCUCCUUCUCUCUCCAAAGCAACUCCAUUGGCAAAAUUAUACGAUUUUGCCGGUUGUGCAACAAUGUUAUUCUCCUUGAGAAACUGAUGCAGCGGACGAGUCUCGACCCUCGCAGAUAGGAUCAUGAUAACAAAGAGGCUCCGCAACAUGCACUUCAUCCUGUAAUCCAUGCUACGCGUAGAUGACAGAGUAUCUGAUGAAUUUCAGGUUACAGCUUCUCU